rnacentral:tRNA from 1 species
GGUGGAAUAGUUUAAAUUUGGUUAGAACAUUGAUCUCAUAAGUCAAGGGUUAGGGUUCAAAUCCCUGUUCCACUA